rnacentral:sRNA from 1 species
CUGCUCCCCCUCCUCUUCAGAGGAGGGGGCGGGGGGUGGUGGAUGCGUUGCGCACGGCAUGGCACCACCCCCAACCCCUCCUCUGAAGAGGAGGGGAGAAAG